rnacentral:rRNA from 1 species
UACGGAAGGUGCAAGCGUUGCUCGGAAUCACUGGGCGUAAAGGGUGCGUAGGCGGCUUGGUGGGUCUGGUGUGAAAGCCCCGGGCUCAGCCCGGGAAGGGCGCUAGAAACCGCCGAGCUCGAGUGCCGGAGGGGAGAGUGGAAUUCCUGGUGUAGCGGUGAAAUGCGUAGAUAUCAGGAGGAAUACCGGUGGCGAAAGCGACUCUCUGGACGGCAACUGACGCUGAGGCACGAAAGCGUGGGGAGCAAACAGG